AUUGAACGCUGGCGGCAGGCCUAACACAUGCAAGUCGAACGAGUGGCGGACGGGUGAGUAAUGUCUGGGAAACUGCCUGAUGGAGGGGGAUAACUCCUGGAAACGGUAGCUAAUCCCGCAUACCAUCGGAUGUGCCCCGAUGGGAUUAGCUAGUAGGUGGGGUAAAGGCUCACCUAGGCGACGAUCCCUAGCUGGUCUGAGAGGAUGACCGGCCACACUGGAAAUGAGACACGGUCCAGACUCCGACGGGAUGCAGCAGUGGGGAAUAUGGCACAAUGGGCGCAAGCCUGAUGCAGCCAUGCGGCGUGUAUGAAGAAGGCCUUCGGGUUGUAAAGUACUUUCAGCGGGGAGGCGUUACCCGCAGAAGAAGCACCGGCUAACUCCGUGCCAGCCGCGGUAAUAC
rnacentral:rRNA from 1 species